rnacentral:rRNA from 1 species
UACGUAGGGUGCGAGCGUUGUCCGGAAUUAUUGGGCGUAAAGGGCGCGUAGGCUGCGGGGCAAGUCGGGUGUGAAAUCUCAGAGCUCAACUCUGAAACUGCACUCGAUACUGCUUUGCUUGAGGACUGGAGAGGAGACUGGAAUUUACGGUGUAGCGGUGAAAUGCGUAGAUAUCGUAAGGAAGACCAGUGGCGAAGGCGGGUCUCUGGACAGUUCCUGACGCUGAGGCACGAAGGUCAGGGGAGCAAACGGG